GAUUGUGUGAUGAUUGUUGUUGUCUUUUCUUCUGCGUAAGGAGUCUUUGGGACCUUCACUUCCUGGUCAUGAUUCACUGUUGGCCCAUUCUGGUCGUUCAUGACUUUGAACUCACCACAGAGUGUUGCUCUGCCUCCAUGGUGGCAUCAACUCACUGCAAAUACGAUUUCUGCCCUCGAUGACUGUUGCUUACUCUCUGGAUAGGUCUUCAGUCUCCUGUCUCGUCCAGACAAAAAUAAACAUGGUAAACAAUCAACACUUAUUACAGUGGUAAGUGGAUCUUGCAUGAAUUAAAUGUAAAGAUUUCAGCACAUUUAAGUAACAUAUUUUGCACACCAUAGUGCCAACAUGCUCUUCCUCAGUUGACUCGAAACAUCACUUAAAACGGGAGCUUCUUGUUGUGCAGAUCUUGUUUUUCUACAUUCCUGCUUAAUAACUACUCAAUGUGUUUCAACAUACUAAGCCAUCUUUUUUUUUUGUCUUUUGUUUCUCAACGAUAGUCGAAGAGAGCUGAUUUCUUCUGUCGUCGUCGGAUGCUUCACAGAGGGUUUACCUGAGAACUUUAUUUGGAUGCAUUUCCAUGUUUCUUCCAUUUUCUAAAAUAUUUGUAUUGUUGUUUUGACUUAUCUUUGAUUCCCAGACUUCUUCACAAACACAUGUUUCAUGAGGCUGAGAAGUUUGCCUAUCCUAACCUGUUUUAAUUGUGUUCUUUUUAAGGAGGAUAAUUAUGUUUCCAAAGGGGUGGAGAAUCUGAAGUCCCUGGUUUCCCACCUCCGUCAGCUCCUGGACCUGCACAAGAAACAGGAUUGCAGACUUUCCCGUUCAGUCUUUGAGAAGUUUUCUACACUUUUAAGAGCUUCUUGUUGUGCAGAUCUUGUUUUUACUUUCAUUGCCUGCUCAAUAACUAUUCAAGAAUGUGCUUCAGAGGCUUUUGCCCGA